rnacentral:misc_RNA from 1 species
GAAAUGCGAUAAGUAAUGUGAAUUGCAGAAUUCAGUGAAUCAUCGAAUCUUUGAACGCACCUUGCGCUCCUUGGUAUUCCUUGGAGCAUACCUGUUUGAGUAUCAUGAAAUCUUCAAAGUAAAUCUUUUGUUAACUCAAUUGGUUUCUACUUUGGUAUUGGAGGUCUUUGCAGCUUCACACCUGCUCCUCUUUGUUCAUUAGCUGGAUCUCAGUGUUAUGCUUGGUUCCACUCGGCGUGAUAAGUUAUCUAUCGCUGAGGACACUGUAAAAGGUGGCCAAGGUAAAUGCAGAUGAAACGCUUCUAAUAGUCCAUUGACUUGGACAAUACUUUUAUGAUCUGCUCUCAAAUCAGGUAGGACUACCCGCUGAACUUAAGC